rnacentral:rRNA from 1 species
AAAUUGAAGAGUUUGAUCAUGGCUCAGAUUGAACGCUGGCGGCAGGCCUAACACAUGCAAGUCGAACGGUAACAGGAAGCAGCUUGCUGCUUUGCUGACGAGUGGCGGACGGGUGAGUAAUGUCUGGGAAACUGCCUGAUGGAGGGGGAUAACUACUGGAAACGGUGGCUAAUACCGCAUAACGUCGCAAGACCAAAGAGGGGGACCUUCGGGCCUCUUGCCAUCAGAUGUGCCCAGAUGGGAUUAGCUUGUUGGUGAGGUAACGGCUCACCAAGGCGACGAUCCCUAGCUGGUCUGAGAGGAUGACCAGCCACACUGGAACUGAGACACGGUCCAGACUCCUACGGGAGGCAGCAGUGGGGAAUAUUGCACAAUGGGCGCAAGCCUGAUGCAGUCAUGCCGCGUGUAUGAAGAAGGCCUUCGGGUUGUAAAGUACUUUCAGCGGGGAGGAAGGUGUUG